GACGUAGGGCGCGAGCGUUGUCCGGAAUUACUGGGCGUAAAGAGCUCGUAGGUGGUUUGUCGCGUUGUUCGUGAAAACUCACAGCUCAACUGUGGGCGUGCGGGCGAUACGGGCAGACUGGAGUACUGCAGGGGAGACUGGAAUUCCUGGUGUAGCGGUGAAAUGCGCAGAUAUCAGGAGGAACACCGGUGGCGAAGGCGGAUCUCUGGGCCAUUACUGACGCUGAGGAGCGAAAGCGUGGGGAGCGAACAGG
rnacentral:rRNA from 1 species